rnacentral:rRNA from 1 species
AUUGUAGUCAUAUGCUUGUCUCAAAGAUUAAGCCAUGCAAGUCUAAGUAUAAGCAACUAUACGGUGAAACUGCGAAUGGCUCAUUAAAUCAGUUAUCGUUUAUUUGAUAGUACCUUACUACAUGGAUAACCGUGGUAAUUCUAGAGCUAAUACAUGCUAAAAACCCCGACUUCGGGAGGGGUGUAUUUAUUAGAUAAAAAACCAAUGCCCUUCGGGGCUCCUUGGUGAAUCAUAAUAACUUAACGAAUCGCAUGGCCUUGCGCCGGCGAUGGUUCAUUCAAAUUUCUGCCCUAUCAACUUUCGAUGGUAGGAUAGUGGCCUACCAUGGUAUCAACGGGUAACGGGGAAUUAGGGUUCUAUUCCGGAGAGGGAGCCUGAGAAACGGCUACCACAUCCAAGAGAGGCAGCGGGCGCGCAAAUUACCCACUCUCGACACGGGGGAGGGAGUGACACUAAAUACUGUGACCGGCGCUUUUGUGUCUCGUAAUUGUGAUGAGAGCACUACUCUAAAUCCUCUUAACGAGGAAACAUUUGGGGCGCAAUUUCUGUGUGCCAGGAGCAAUUCGUUUUUCACGCG